AUUGAACGCUGGCGGCAGGCUUAACACAUGCAAGUCGAGCGGGGGAAGGUAGCUUGCUACCGGACCUAGCGGCGGACGGGUGAGUAAUGCUUAGGAAUCUGCCUAUUAGUGGGGGACAACAUCUCGAAAGGGAUGCUAAUACCGCAUACGUCCUACGGGAGAAAGCAGGGGAUCUUCGGACCUUGCGCUAAUAGAUGAGCCUCGGUCGGAUUAGCUAGUUGGGGGGGUAAAGGCCUACCAAGGCGACGAUCUGUAGCGGGUCGGAGAGGAUGAACCGCCACACUGGGACUGAGCCACGGCCCAGCGUCCAGCGGGAGGUCGCAGUGGGGAAUAUUGGACAAUGGGGGGAACCCUGGUCCAGCCAUUCAGCGUGUGUGAAGAAGGCCUUAUGGUUGUAAAGCACUUUAAGCGAGGAGGAGGCUACUCUAGUUAAUACCUAGGGAUAGUGGACGUUACUCGCAGAAUAAGCACCGGCUAACUCUGUGCCAGCAGCCGCGGUAA
rnacentral:rRNA from 1 species